CUCAACCACCAUCCCUGAGACCACAGUUCGGCCAAACCGAACCUGAAGCUUGCACCUAUUGUGACCUUGGACCACGCACUUAACAUAGUAGUACUGAAAGGGCAACCCUUUCCAAACGCAUCCCCAGAACUAAUACACACUCCCAUGGAUACAUAUGGAUACACAUGAUAACACACACGCAUACACCCACACAAACACACACAACACACACAUAGAGG
rnacentral:lncRNA from 1 species